rnacentral:tRNA from 2 species
GCAUUGGUGGUUCAAUGGUAGAGUUCCUGCUUGCCGUGCAGGAGACCUGGGUUCAAUUCCCAGCCAAUGUA